GACGAACGCUGGCGGCGUGCUUAACACAUGCAAGUCGAACGGAAAGGCGCUGCUCUUGUGGCUUUCUCGAUUGGCGAACGGGUGAGUAACACGUGUGUAACCUGCCCCUGACUUUGGGAUAACUCCAGGAAACUCGGGCUAUUAUCGCAUAGGAGCUCCUGCUGCACGGUGGGGGUUGGUAAGUUUCGGCGGUUGGGGAUGGACUCGCUGGUUAUCGGCUUGUUGGUCGGGUAGUGGCGUACCACGGCUGUGACGGGUAGCCGGCCUGGGAGGGUGACCGGCCACCUUGGGCCUGAGAGAGGGACCAGAAGGCUACGGGCGGCAGCAGGGGGGAGUAUGGCGCAAUGGGCGGAAGCCUGAUGCAGCAACGCCGCGUGCGGGAUACCGGCCUUCGAGUGAUAAACAGAUUUCGCCGGUACCGAGGCGUGAGUGACGGUAAUGAGUAAGAAAGCACCGGCUAACUACGUG
rnacentral:rRNA from 1 species